rnacentral:tRNA from 1 species
CGUAAGACUUGUGCUACUUACAACACAUCUCCUGAAUGCAACUCAAACACUUUAAUUAAG